GUGCUCGCUUUGGCAGCACAUAUACUAAAAAUUGGAAUGACACAGAGAAGAUUAUCAUGGCCCCUGCGCAGGGAUGACACGCAAAUUCAUGAAGUGUUCCAUAUUUUU